UGGGGAAUAUUGCACAAUGGGCGCAAGCCUGAUGCAGCGACGCCGCGUGGGGGAUGACGGCCUUCGGGUUGUAAACUCCUUUCGCUAGGGACGAAGCUUUUGUGACGGUACCUAGAUAAGAAGCACCGGCUAACUACGUGCCAGCAGCCGCGGUAAUACGUAGGGUGCGAGCGUUGUCCGGAAUUACUGGGCGUAAAGGGCUCGUAGGUGGUUUGUCGCGUCGUCUGUGAAAUUCCGGGGCUUAACUCCGGGCGUGCAGGCGAUACGGGCAUAACUUGAGUACUGUAGGGGUAACUGGAAUUCCUGGUGUAGCGGUGAAAUGCGCAGAUAUCAGGAGGAACACCGAUGGCGAAGGCAGGUUACUGGGCAGUUACUGACGCUGAGGAGCGAAAGCAUGGGUAGCGAACAGG
rnacentral:rRNA from 1 species